UACGUACGAGGCGAGCGUUAUCCGGAAUUACUGGGCGUAAAGCGCGCGCAGGCGGACCAUUAAGUUGGGCGUGAAAUCUCCCGGCCUAACUGGGAGGGGUCGCCCAAGACUGGUGGUCUUGAGGACAGCAGAGGUGGGUGGAAUUCCUGGUGUAGUGGUGAAAUGCGUAGAGAUCAGGAGGAACACCGGUGGCGAAGGCGGCCCACUGGGCUGGCACUGACGCUGAGGCGCGAAAGCGCGGGGAGCGAACGGG
rnacentral:rRNA from 1 species